rnacentral:misc_RNA from 1 species
AGACGCAGUAGCAGCGCAGAUUAACAGACCCUGAAUGCUGCAAUGUCGCACACUUGACGCAUGCGUCUACGUCUGCAUUCAGGGCUUUCGGCAUUAACCGACGCUAUCCGAAUGGGCUGAAUGGACUCCUGACGCCGCUACGUGUGCGGGUAUGAUACCAUGCGAGAGCUUUGGGUGUCUCUGAAGUCGGAUGUGCGAAGUGACCUUCCGCCACAAAUACAAGCCAGGGAACCGGUCAAGACGUCGGAGAGGUUCGGGCUGGAGAACAGUGAAAGAAAAUGCUAUCAGUUGCGUGGUCAUUCGUUUUCCUGUGCUUGUUGGGUGCGAGCUGCCAACGAGACUCGGACACCACUGUUCCCACAACCACUGGACGUGUGAGAGGCACUCUUGUCCCGACGACAGCCGGACCUGUGCGCGCCUUCCUGGGAGUGCCCUUUGCAGAGCCUCCAGUUGGUGCUGCCCGUUUCAAGAAGCCCCAACCGAAGGAGCCCUGGGAGGGAGUACUCCAUGCCACGUUAAAUCCACCUAUGUGCCCCCAGCAGCCUAUACAAUUCAAUAACUACUACUCUGUGAAGAAAAGCGAUGAAAUUUCAGAGGACUGCCUUUUCCUUAACGUUUUCACUCCUAUGACGCGCGGGAAGUCACUGAAACCAGUUGUCGUUUAUAUCCACGGAGGCUUCUUCAACUAUGGUGGAGUUUCCAUGAAGCUCUACGAUGCCUCAGAACUAUCAGCCAGACAGGACCUCGUUGUUGUUACCAUCGCGUACAGGCUUGGCGCGUUUGGAUUUCUCAACGUGGGUACUGAAGAUGCACCAGGUAACAUGGGGCUUCAUGAUCAGAUCCUCGCACUAAGCUGGAUAAAAAGCAACGCGGAGGCCUUUGGCGGAGAUCCUGACCUCAUCACUCUCGUUGGCCAAAGCGCAGGAGCUUUCUCCGUUGGCAUUCACUUGACAUCUCCCAAAAGCAGAGGCCUCUUUAAGCGCGCAAUCAUGCAGAGUGGGAGCCCCUUCACGACCACAAUGAUGAACAGCAAGGACGAUGCGGCCUACGGCGCGGGUGAGCUGGCCAGGGCUUUGCACUGUCCUAUGCCAAUGAUGAUGAUGCAAGGUGGUGGUGCCAAUGCAAUGCUCAAGUGCCUACGCUCCAAGGAUGUUGAUUCCAUACUUAACGCUACGGCAAGCUUCACCAUCCAAGGUCUGGAUGGCUUCUUCCCCGUGAUAGGCGACGAAGUCAUACCCGUGAAACCUUCGGUUGCUUUGAGAAGCGGAAGGCUUAACGCUCGCGAGCUACUGGCAGGCAUAUCGGAACACGAAGGGGACGGCCUCAUCCACUUUAUGGCGAAGAAAUUCUACGACACCAAAGAUGCCGAUGAAGUCAGGAAAGACUCGAUGAUUUUCGUGGCUAGAGGUGCAAUGCUAACCUUUUUAGGAGUCGAUUCAAAGCGAGCAAUAGAUCGCUACUUCAGUGGUUCGCAAUCGCAAGGUGGUACGAACGCUCUCCACGCAGCGGCGGAUCUCAUCGGAGACAGUCAGCUCGGAUGUCCAACAGUGGGCUUCGCCAAGAGAUUCGUAAACCCCGACACGAGGGUUUUCGUGUACAAGCUUUCGCAGCAACCAUCCAGGAUAAACUGGCCAAAGUGGGUUCGGCCGACGCACACAGACGAAAUAGCCUUCGCUUUAGGAUCCAUUUUCAAGCUGGAUCCACAGAUCUCGCUGAGCGAUGUCAGAGCAGCCGAUAACUUCAUGCACAUCGUUUCAACAUUCAGUCGCACAGGAGUUCCACGUGUCACAGACAAGACUUCAUGGCCGAAAUUCGAUCAGCAGCAGCGAUACAUGAACAUCGAGAAGCAAGGAAACUUUCCUGGAAAGAACCUCCUUUAUUCUACGUGCGAUAUGUGGGAAAGAGUUCGUCCUUAUGAAUGAGUGGGCACAGCAUUCGCUCGCUUUUAGAGUACCACGAGUCCCUGACAACAACACCUGGCCCAAGUUUGGUGAAGAACGUGAUUACAUGGAAAUUGGAAAAGAAGCCAACGUCAACAGAAAGCACCUUCUUGGGCCUGCGUGCAACAUUUGGGAGGAACAAAAGCCCUAUAAUUGAAAUGUCGUCGUACCACCUGUAUCCGAUAGCUCCUUGCAAGACAGCUGAGGUGAAGGUGGCACGUCAUAUGCAAAGAUGAGGUAGACAUUCACUGACAUCAAUCGUGGUCAAGAUGUAAAACGAAGUUUACAGGGUAUACUGUCAUUUUACAUCUGCAGUUUAGCGUAAAAUUCAUGUCACUGAUGACAAAGAAGAAGAUCCGCCUCCCGAUGGUGGAGAAGAAAGACUCAACUCGUACCUACUCGGACGUAAGAACUGGUCUCGAAUAAAACAGCUUUCAGUCUGCUAUGCUUCCGUAACUGCUCGCUUUUCGCAAGGUGAUAUGCGGGAUACGCUUCAUUAACAGCUAAGACACACGUUAUUUUUGAAGAAGAGUGCGUCCACAUCAUCCGGUAUGCAGAUAACUAAGUCGAACGCUGGAAGAAAGCAAAUGAGUAAAAAGCAGAUGUGAUCAGUCGUUGAAAUUUGGCAUGCAGAAACAAAAUUAAUAGAGGGAGUGCUGCAGAUGAAGAGAGGACCCAAUGCCACUUUUACACAAUAAACCAGUAAACACACAUGCUGAGCGAGUGUUAGCUGUGGCAGCUACUGCAACUGGGCUUUACAAUAUCAGAGUCCACUACUGCCGCAUGGGUGAAGGGGCUGUCAGAUUGCCAAUAUUUUGUUGUUCGUAAGUUUCAAAGGGCCCUGCAACACGUUGCCGAAUAACCAUCGAAUAGCUUCAUAGAGGCUUAUUAGCUGCCCGAAUCGGCCGCUGCUAAGCUUUUUACAACCCAUCGAGUACGAGCAGCUCGCAGAAAUUCGUGACGCACGCUGUAAUUGAUUUUUCGCUUCUCGUCGUCCCAGUGAGCGGGCUGGAGGUCAAAUAUAGAGAGGCAUUGACACGAAGGAAAGAAGUUGCAUAGCGCGUGCGUCAUCCCUUUGUACACUCUUUUGUUUUCUUCUCAUGUGAUUCUUAAAUAGAAAAGAAGAGAAAAGUGAUCCCCGUAACGGUCUGCAUCAGAGUGCGACACCUCAACAGCAGCUCACGAGAGGAUGGACAUAAGGAGGGAUUAAAAGGAUAGGAUUAAAAGUUAAACAGAUAGAGUGGGAAGGAGAGAGUGAAACGCAGGGACAGCGAACGACGGAAAACGACGGAAGUAAAGAGGAGAUAGGAAAGAUGGACACGUUCGCAGGAGUCCGAGGACGGGGCACCACUCGGCGAGAGCUCUUGUCGGCGUCAGGAGAUGGCGUAGGGCGAGCCCAGUCGGCCAGAGCUGCGCUGUCGUCGGAGAUCGCGGAGGCACAACCGGUUGGCACGAAAUCCAGAGAGCGAGUCCAUCUUUGUUUUCUUCAAACGCAUGACUGACCAAUGGACUGACAUUCAGUGUUAUCGCGAGCGAACGCGCAAGCAAGUAGUUCACAACGCUCAAAUCAGACGAUAGUUGUGAAUUUGGGCAUACAACACUUUAAUUUGGAUGUAUGGGAUCAUUUGUAGAAACAAGGGACAAUUUAGAGCUGUCUUUGAGAAUCAUGAAUUACAGGCCACUUGCUGCCCUAUAAUGUCUGCUUCCCGUGUUCUCAGGGUCCUCAACCACCGAUCGGCAUUGUUUUCUGAUCGUGCUGAAAACGUUCCGCAGGGCCCAUUUGAAUUUGUUGACGCAAUAAAAACAUUUCUUAGUAAUUCCCUGGAAUGUCAUAUUGGUGUUCCUGUGACAGCAAUGGCUGAAUAACAAUAAACAGAUUAGUUAAUUAUUAACAUUUUUUGCAUAAGAUAUAUAAAAAGCUGAAUAUCGCUCGCAAUUAACUGUAAAUCGUCAGUAGAGGCUAAAAUAUCCGCUCAAAUGUAUCAGAGUCUAGGCUCUGCAUGGAAGGGCUACAAAAGUUCGUUCUUCUAGGAAAUACUUGCUUACGAAAUGCCAAACUGCUUUCCUCGUAAUACAGAACAAUAAAAAUGCUCUGGUA